rnacentral:rRNA from 1 species
UAGAGUUUGAUCCUGGCUCAGGGUGAAGUCGUAAUAAGGUAACCGAAAGUCGUAACAAGGUAACCGUAAGUCGUAACAAGGUAGCCGUAGAGUUUGAUCCUGGGUCAGCCUUUGACUUAAAAAAAUGGAGAAGUCGUAACAAGGUAACCGUAAGUCGUAACGAGGUAA